UCCCUGCCCCCAUACUCCCAG
rnacentral:miRNA from 1 species